CUUAGCGGCGGACGGGUGAGUAACGCGUGGGUAACCUGCCUUACACUGGGGGAUAACAGUUAGAAAUGACUGCUAAUACCGCAUAAGCGCACAGGGCCGCAUGGUCUGGUGUGAAAAACUCCGGUGGUGUAAGAUGGACCCGCGUCUGAUUAGCCAGUUGGCGGGGUAACGGCCCACCAAAGCGACGAUCAGUAGCCGACCUGAGAGGGUGACCGGCCACAUUGGGACUGAGACACGGCCCAAACUCCUACGGGAGGCAGCAUG
rnacentral:rRNA from 1 species